GUGUCAGCAGCCGCGGUAAGACGGAGGGUGCUAGCGUUGUUCGGAAUUACUGGGCGUAAAGGGCGCGUAGGCGGCCUGAUCAGUCGGGUGUGAAAGCCCGGGGCUCAACCCCGGAACGGCACCCGAGACGGUCAGGCUGGAGACCGGGAGAGGAGGGUGGAAUAGCCAGUGUAGAGGUGAAAUUCGUAGAUAUUGGCUGGAACACCGGUGGCGAAAGCGGCUCUCUGGCCCGGUUCUGACGCUGAGGCGCGAAAGCGUGGGGAGCAAACAGGAUUAGAUACCCUGGUAGUCC
rnacentral:rRNA from 1 species